UUUGGGAAAACAUCUGUCCAGUUGUUUAUAAUAUGACCUGUAAGAUUUUAGGCAAUUUGAGCUUUCCAGGGCAGUGAUGAAUCUCAAAUACGCUUUGAAUGAUGACACCCAUUAACUAGUUUGUAACGAUGGAGCGUUUCUUUUGCGUUAUCUUUGUCAGUGCCAAUACUUCUUCUUCCUGGGUGACCAUUAUCGUGUGCUCCUCUUCAGCAGACUGUAAUGGUUAAUUUUGUGUGUCAGCUUGACUGGAUCAUGGGUUGCCCAGAUGUUGGUUAAAUGUUAUUUCUGGGAAUGGCUGUGAAGGUGUUUCCUGAUGAAAUUAGCAUUUGAAUCAGUGGACUCUGUAAAGCAGUGCGCCCUCCCCAGUGUGGGUGGGCGUCAUCCAGUCCAUUGAGAGCCUGAAUAGAACAAAAAAGCAGAGGAAGGAAGAAUUCAGCCCUUCCUGACUCACUGCUCGAGUGGGGACAUGGAUUUUCUUACCCUAGGUACUCCUGUUUCUUAGGCCUUUGGACUCAGACUGGAACUACACCCCUGGGUCUCCUGGGCUGCCUGAUUAUAGACAGAAAAUUGUGCAACUUCUCAGCCUCCGUAAUGGCAAAGAAUCUCAGGGCUCAGCUCGCCACUUCCUGAAUAAAGAGAGAAAAAUGCCCAGAGUGCUGGAUUCAUUGAGAGGUGCAGAGCGAUCAGCAGAAAUCCUGACCGACUGAGGGGCCCAGAGGGCAAAGGAAGAACGUUUCUCCGUUCAGCUACAACCUAAGAUAAGUGCGAGGUCCCCAGUCACCAAAUACUCCCCCAGCCCUCCCAGUGGCCACAGGGAGGCCAGCUGGGAGGAAGGUACAGGCUUCCCUGGCUUGUUGCUAUGGAGUCGGCGUCAUCCAAGACAGUAUUGUCAGUCAGUCCAAUUCAAAGACAGCAGUGGCAGUAAUGGAACUGCAUUGAAAUUACAAAUAUUUACUUGGGAAAAAAAAAGUCCAAAUCAGAUGUAACUGAGAUGAUAAGGUUCUGUUUACUUCUCUAGGUAGUAGCCGGGAAACAGCCAAACCAGUUAGGGUAGGAAAUUUUCUUUUUUUGGUCAGGUAUGUACUGAAUCACUGGCAGCAAACUUCAGGGAUUUUUAGGAGAGAAGAUUUCUUUCUCUCUAGGUUCUCCUGGGCAGAGUGCCUGUACUCCUUCCCCUCCACACACUUUUUUAAAAGCAAUUCGAGGCCAGCUGAGCUCAUUUUGAUUAUUGCUGUUAGUUUCCUGCCACUUGUCUUUGUAGGCUGGAGUGAGGCCUCAGGAUUUAGAUGAGAAACAUCGGGCUGCUCUCCUCUUCGAGAAACCUUACCUGUGUGGUUUCCUAGCUUGCCUUUUCAUCACUUACUCGGUUGAGGUCUGCCAUAGCUGGCCUGUUAAAGAGAAAUUUGAAAUCAGUGGGUGAAAGGGCUAAGAAAGAGAAAAAUACAGUUGAGCAGUGAGUGUACUUGGCUGGGUACCCUUAUGGGAGACUGAUUUCAUUGGCCUUUGGAACACUGGAGGGGAUUGCAAAACAUGCAGCUAGAACAGAGCGAGAAUGCAGAUAGAAGCGGGGGGCAGAAUGGGGAGACAAAGAGGGGUUUCCCUUUCCUCAGACAGGGGGGAUCAUCCUUACUAAAGUGCGUUUCUUGGGGCAGCUCAGAAGCAGGAGAAGAUGCCAGGCAAUAAGGGCGGUGGCCAUUUGAAUAAUGAAUAUAUAACACGCAGUGAUUUCAAACCUCACAGUUUGUUAUUGGAAGUUUUUCUUCCCAUUUGGAGGGCAGGUUUCCAUCAAUUCUCUUGUCUAAUUCCUGCUUCCUGCCAAGCUGCUGCUGUUUUCAAGAAAACACUUGGGUCAUCGUUUGAGAGCUUCAAAAACCUCAGUGUUCAAUUAGCCUCCUUUUGAAUCCCUUCUGACGGUUGGUUAAAUAUGGGUCCAAAGUCCUUUCUGUGAGUAGGGCUGAUCCUGGGGUGAGGAAACUUAAUUUUCUGAGUGUUAAGAAACAAAAAUAAUGUUUUAACAGCACCAUUACUAGAACACUUGGAAAUUGCACUCUUCUAGUCUGUUCUGUUCAAUUCCAUUUUAUGGACUUCUGAACAUUUCAUAGUACAAAGGGCUAUUAUAUAAAAAGGACAUUUGGAUAUCCUUCUUAAAGGUUCCCUUGUACUUUCAUAGCAUGUUUACAAGGUUACUAAGUAUGCUUUCUCAUCACUGUAUUUUAAAUGGCUCGACUACUACUCCCACGUUUGAGAAUCAUUGAAACUGCCUGAAUGGAACCGGGAUAUCCUUUGUUCCCCAUUGAUUCGGAAACAAAAGACGCAGGAAAAAAAGUUUAUUUUGCUGCUGAAUGCCAUAUGCAGAUGAACGCAUUGUCGAUUAAAUUAAACCAAGGAUCUGAAGACUUUUUCAAGCCUUAGAAAGAAUGUUCUUAUAGUUAUGGUACAUGUUAGAAUUUGCCCUCCAGUUUUCAUUUAUUCUGUUGUGCUUGUGUCUAACGUGGGGUUAUUUAAGUCACACACCCAAGUCUUCAGGAAUAAUAAAGCGUAAUCAAUAGAGGAGAAUCAGCAUCAAAAAAGACCAAAGUUGCUGUGUUGUUUCUUAGGUGGGAAAAUACCAGCUGGACAUAAGUAGGCAGUGCCCUCCAUUCAUUUCCUCCCUUCUCCAUCUUUUCCAGUUUCUCUAGACCGGAGAUUCUCAUUUUCGGCACUGUUGACAUUUGGACUGGGUCAUUCUGCGUUGCAGGGGGCUGUCCUGUGCGUUGUGGGGUGUCUACCAGCUUCCUGGGCCUAGACCCCAGAUGCUGGAGGCACCCCCCACAGUCAUGACAGGUGGGGACCACAGCAGGAAGUGCAUCCCAGCUUAUACAGCUAGAUGGUUGUUUUUUAAUAGAAGUCUAAUGAAGAAAAUAAUAAUGGACUCCCAGCCUACUGAUCAGAGAAGCCUACUGAUAUUUAAACAGCUAAACAAAAGUACAUGCUUAU